rnacentral:rRNA from 1 species
UGAGAGCGGCGCACGGGUGCGGAACACGUGUGCAACCUGCCUUUAUCAGGGGGAUAGCCUUUCGAAAGGAAGAUUAAUACCCCAUAACAUUUUGAAUGGCAUCAUUUAAAAUUGAAAACUCCGGUGGAUAAAGAUGGGCACGCGCAGGAUUAGAUAGUUGGUAGGGUAACGGCCUACCAAGUCAACGAUCCUUAGGGGGCCUGAGAGGGUGAUCCCCCACACUGGUACUGAGACACGGACCAGACUCCUACGGGAGGCAGCAGUGAGGAAUAUUGGACAAUGGGUGAGAGCCUGAUCCAGCCAUCCCGCGUGAAGGACGACGGCCCUAUGGGUUGUAAACUUCUUUUGUAUAGGGAUAAACCUACUCUCGUGAGAGUAGCUGAAGGUACUAUACGAAUAAGCACCGGCUAACUCCGUGCCAGCAGCCGCGGUAAUACGGAGGGUGCAAGCGUUAUCCGGAUUUAUUGGGUUUAAAGGGUCCGUAGGCUGAUUUGUAAGUCAGUGGUGAAAUCUCACAGCUCAACUGUGAAACUGCCAUUGAUACUGCAAGUCUUGAGUGUUGUUGAAGUAGCUGGAAUAAGUAGUGUAGCGGUGAAAUGCAUAGAUAUUACUUAGAACACCAAUUGCGAAGGCAGGUUACUAAGCAACAACUGACGCUGAUGGACGAAAGCGUGGGGAGCGAACAGGAUUAGAUACCCUGGUAGUCCACGCCGUAAACGAUGCUAACUCGUUUUUGGGUUUUCGGAUUCAGAGACUA